GUUACGGCGGGUGGGGCCGUGAGGGCGCGGCGGACUCGUCGGCGGGUCCCUGAGCGGCACGUCCCGCCCCGGGUGUGCAGAGAGGAGCACGAAGUUUUCCUGUCCCUGCUGGACCCUUCCAGAGCCCAGUGGUGGAGCCUCCGAGGAGAGAUCUCACUGCCCAGCCCAGGGAUGGCAACAGUGACACAGAUCAAUGACAAGGAGGCUUAUCUUGGUGAAUGUGGCAGGUUAAAUCCUACUUCAGACUGCAUCUCUAAAACCUGCAGUGUCUGUUUUCUGGUGUGGUUUUUUGUUUGUUUGUUUUUGUUUUGGGUUUUUUUGGUUCUUUUUUUUUAUAAAAUGGUGCUACUUCCUACAGGUGAUCUUUUUCCUUCCAUGGCAUAAACACAAACAUCAGGAAACAUGUUUCCACUGUGAGAGUGACAAACACUGGCACAGGCUGCCCCAGGAGGCUGUGGAGUCACCAUCCUUGGAGACACUCUCAAAAGCUGGGUGUGGUUGUGGGCAACCAGCUCUUGGUGCCCCUGCCCGUGACCUCUGGAAGGCCCUGCCUCCCUCAACAGUUCUGUGGUUCUGCGAAAUAAUCAGGGAUCAAACCCACCACCUCCAAAUGUACAGCUUAGCCUUCAUUAUGGGCAAGGACAGGAGUCCUCAGUUUGUCUCUAACUUCAGAAAACCUCCCGUGUUUUAUAUUGAACUUACAUGGUUCUUUCUAUAGUUGCUGCCUAACCUCUGUCUUGCUGGUUAGGAACUCCCCUGUGACUGGAAAGAUUGCACAGCAAUCACGUCCUGAGGAUGAGAAAGUUAAAUCUGGGGUUUCAGUGUCUUUGCUGCAGACAUGGAGCUGCUGCAGAACAAAUGGCACUGCCCAGUGCUGCAGUUCUGAGAGUCACCACUUCCACUCCUUUUUUUGUGGAGCUGAUCUGCAGGUGAAGCUGCUCCCAGAUCCAGUGCUUAAAGGUGAAUGCUAGUGUCUGUUCCUGGGUCAUGGUCAGGCAUAUAAAUCCUGAGCUGUUCAAAGCUCUGGCAGGACUGAGGCGUUUCUGAGGAGCUGCACAAGGAGAAGUUCACAUGCCCCAAGACCAAGCAUGCUGCUGGCACAGUCAGGUGCUCCCAAGGUGAGCACAGCAGAGGGGAGUUGCAACUUUGAUUUUUGAUGCCUAAAUUGUAUUAAAACUUCAAUUUUGAUACCCAAAUCCUCAUUUAGAUCUAUCCCAAAGUGGUAAUUCCACCGGGAAGGUCCCUGGGAGGGCUUCGUGGCAGAUUUCUUGUGUUUGGCUCUUGGUGCAGUGAACUGUGAUUUCAAACAUGAAGACCCCUACAAGGAGAGGGAAGGCAGGUUAAUCCACAUCCAUUCUGAGAGGGUUUAAAGCUCUUGUUGGCCAAAAGGGGAGCUUAAAAGGUAUUCAGGAGUCGUCCUGUUUCCCUGCUGACAAAUGCAAUGUGAUGUUUGUGUGAAAACAGCUCUGACACAUGGGCUUGGAAGCACAGCCUGAUUUUGUAUCAGUGCAGUCCUUAAGGAAUAAACCUACUAACCACAACUCAGAAAAACAAGCAAGAUGCUACUGACAAAAAGUUAAGACAGAUUUUUCCAUUAGAAGCUGAAGUUUUAUUACAGGAUAACAGUACAUAAAGCACAUCUAAAAUCGAUGUGUUCAAUGCACUUAAUAAAGGUAAUGUAAUAUUAAAGGUACAGUUUCUAAGUACAAUAUAACAACAUUCAUAUUAGAAUGAAAAUUGGAGUAUUUAAAAGACAACAUUAAAUCUCUUAUUUUUACAGUCAUAUUUACAAAAUGAAUCAAAAUACUUUUUUCGGGACCGAGUAAAAUAACAAACUCGAAUAUAAGCAGGCUAUUGUAGGGGUGAGCUGGAAAGGUCCAUGAGGGGGACAAGUGAAGUGACUGGGUAAAGAUCAUUAGCAAAGGUUUAGUACAAUACCACUUUAGUAUUCCUCUUGAUGGCUUACACUUUAUUGUGGCUAGAAAAGGAAUUUAUACAUACUGUACACAUAACAGACAGCACAUAUUUACAUGUACAGUAUCAUUGCAUUUCAACUUGUGUGUAUUUACAGAAAUCUGAGCGUUUCACUCAGGGAGGUUUUUUAAGUCUGUGUGCUUAAUCUUCAAUCUGAUGUGUGUUUGUAAUCAGCAUUGAUUCUGGCGUUGGUACACUGAAUAUUUAGUAAAGAGGGAGGAGAAAUGUUAA